rnacentral:rRNA from 1 species
GUUGGGGUUGAACGUCGGAGAUCCUUCGGGACCCGGCGCUGUUUGCGCGGACG